rnacentral:rRNA from 1 species
GUGAGGAAUAUUGGUCAAUGGGCGAGAGCCUGAACCAGCCAAGUCACGUGAAGGAAGAAGGAUCUAUGGUUCGUAAACUUCUUUUGCAGGGGAAUAAAGUGCGGGACGUGUCCUGUUUUGUAUGUACCCUGAGAAUAAGGAUCGGCUAACUCCGUGCCAGCAGCCGCGGUAAUACGGAGGAUCCGAGCGUUAUCCGGAUUUAUUGGGUUUAAAGGGUGCGUAGGUGGUUUGAUAAGUCAGCGGUGAAAGUUUGCAGCUUAACUGUAAAAAUGCCGUUGAAACUGUCGGACUUGAGUGUAAAUGAGGUAGGCGGAAUGCGUGGUGUAGCGGUGAAAUGCAUAGAUAUCACGCAGAACUCCGAUUGCGAAGGCAGCUUACUAAGCUACAACUGACACUGAAGCACGAAAGCGUGGGGAUCAAACAGGAUUAGAAACCCUGGUAGUCC